rnacentral:sRNA from 1 species
CUUAUCUGAAAACUUCAGAAAUGUGGUCAAUAAAUUGCUUUAUAAUCUCAUUUACAAGAAAACUCCACCUUCCUUAGAUAAGCAUACCAAAACAUCGGGUUAUUUUGUUUUUUGUUUUUUGUACUUAAACCUUAAUUUAGCUGUAAAGUGGUUUUAACAGUGCAAUUCAAAAGCCAAACGUUCUAUGGUGAAAUAUGCACAGUCUCACGGGAAAUAAAUCUCAUUCUCUCUGUCUUUGCAGCAACGGUGUGUACCAAUCCCUUGGAUGCACACUCUUAUCCUUUACUUCAGGUUUAUCUUGAAAUAUUGUGUGUGUGUGUGUGUGUGUGUGUGUGUGUGUGUGUAUCAAGCUCCUGGUUCUACCGGAGUGGUGGUUCUGGAAGUGCAGGUCGCAGAGCUGGCGGAGUUGUGUUGGGUUUUCUGCUAUUGCUGACCACGGAAGGUGAAGAAAAUGAAGAGGACAUUAAGAAACCCAUCUGACCACUUCAAAGAGUUUUACUCACCUUUUCCCCUGCAUGAGAAAGUACCAAAUUUUGUAAAAGUAAGAAUUUUAAGUUCUUACGUUUUCCUUUCAGUAUUUACAACCCACUAUGUGUAAUGGUGUGUGUUCGUGAGGGUACUUAAAAUGUUCACCAAAUAAGAAAAUGGCCAGUCUAGAAAAGAGAAAUAAUUAAAAAUACUUGAGUAAGCUGUGAGCAAAUCCUGUAACUUCCUUGGACUCUAACAGUUGCAAGGUUUUAUUGCCUCACAGUAAACAUUGUGAUCAUACCUAGACAGCUGCCAAGUAACACUGUCUGAGGCCUGGGCCAGAUAGGGAUUGAAUUUAUUGCAUUAGAGCAGGUCCCUAGGGUGCUUCUAUUCUGAAUUCUGAGUUUUCAGCCAACAACUUGGUGGGACUUUUGUUGUUCUGCAAAUUUCCACCACACUUCAGAAGCACAUCGGUUUUUACCAGCUGAGUUUUAACUAGAUGUGAAUUCUGUGAGGCAAACAGUUCUCCUAUCCACUGCUGGAGGCAGCUUUCUCUCCUUGGAUGAUUUAAUAAAUAGGAGGGUUGACCACAGGAAAGUGUCUCAAGCUCUUGUGAAACAGGGCCCUGUUGUGCCCUUCCUUCCUGGGUGACAUAGUUGGAAAUGGUUGCUGUGGAGACAAGCCUCCCCAGAAAUCAGUUUAUGCCUGUUCUACCUUCAUUUCUCACCCAGGUGUGGUGAUUUAAAUAAACUCUUUGGUAGGAUUAGAAGGAUUAGGAAGCCUUGCUGCACUUUCAAAAACCCAAGGCCAGGCUAGUCUCCACACCAACCCCCCUGCCCCCAAUGGAUUAGCAUGUAGAACUCUUAGUACUGUGUCUGCCUGCCUGCCACUAUGCUCCCAACCAAGAUGAUAAUGGACUAACCUCUGAAAUGCAAUAGAACAGUGACUGACCCCUGGCAAGUUUCAGGCUUCAGGAAAAGGCUGAAGAAAGAGUGUUCUGCAGUAGAAAUGGGGACAGAACCUGUUGAUGCUUCGGUCUGGGUAGCUUGAAGACUCCAUUCUGAGUGCAGAAUUCAGCACCUAUGAAGAUUUGAGGGGAAAUGAUGGAUGAUGCAUCUCUCUGGAAAGUCUUGGAAGGGCCCUUGUAUCUUGGGGCUUUUCUGUGCCUGAUGUGACCCAGGUCCUCUGGACUACAUUUCUAAUUUUGGUGCCUGAAUCAAUGGACCUGCUUCUAGAGGUGUGGCUGCUAAGCUUGGACAAUUUAGGAUAUUGAAAGGUGGAAAAGGGAAGAGCUAAUGAAAUGCGUGUUGACUAGAUUUCAUAUAGGAAGAUGAAGAAUGUAAAGAAAACAAAAUCCUCCACCAUUAGAAAUGCAGCCACCUCUUCCUAGCUGAUUUGAAUGAUGUAAAACAGCAUCUACAAAGCAUCGUACACAUAGACACGGCAUUCCCAACGAUCUAUGGAGUUCACAUGCCCGGAACUGGGGAUCCUUUCACUCCAACACAGAAGUGAAGGCACUCUUCCAGAUGACCAGAGUUAAACAGUUUGUGGUCUUGGGCAGGAAACUUCUACAAGAACCAAACUCUAGCUACAAAGCUUCAAAGAAUUCCCCGGCCACCUGGAUAAAAACUUGACAGAAGCCAGAGUCAGCUUGCACUUAGGUGUGGUAUGCUCAGCUUGUCAACAUCAAUAAACUGCAAAUGCAAAUGAAAUGAAAUGCAUUCCCUCAUAUGAUGCAAUAAACUGCAAAUGCAAAUGAAAUGAAAUGCAUUCCCUCAUAUGAUGCAAUAAAAUGGGAAAUUAGACCAUGAGGGCUCUGUCUUUAUGAAUGUCCUUCUAAGAGAGGUUGGAGGCAAGAUUGGACGUUAGUACCCUAUUGUGGAAAGGGGAGGAACUGACAGGCCCUCUCCUUUUUGAAGAUUUAGAUGCAGUUAAUAGUUAAGGGGGGAGAAAGGGACAGCAGUGUAACUUCUUCAGUAGUGUAGCUGCUGGGUAUGUGCCCGAGUUUCUUUAAAAGCCCCAAGCAGGAGGUGGAGCAAAGGCUCAGCAGUACGAGCAGUAACUACUUGCUACCAGUUACUGCAUGAUACCCCGGCUUGUUUGCCAGUAAUCAUAUCAGGCUGCUCACAACUGCCUAUAACUCCUGUUCCAGGAAUCAGGAACCCUGUGCCAUAUAUACAUAUACGGUGCACAUAAACUCUCAUAGGCGC